rnacentral:rRNA from 1 species
CCUACGGGGGGCAGCAGUCGAGAAUCAUUCACAAUGGGGGAAACCCUGAUGGUGCGACGCCGCGUGGGGGAAUGAAGGUCUUCGGAUUGUAAACCCCUGUCAUGUGGGAGCAAAUUAAAAAGAUAGUACCACAAGAGGAAGAGACGGCUAACUCUGUGCCAGCAGCCGCGGUAAUACAGAGGUCUAAAGCGUUGUUCGGAAUCACUGGGCGUAAAGGGUGCGUAGGCUGUUUCGUAAGUCGUGUGUGAAAGGCGCGGGCUCAACCCGCGGACGGCACAUGAUACUGCGAGACUAGAGUAAUGGAGGGGGAACCGGAAUUCUCGGUGUAGCAGUGAAAUGCGUAGAUCUCGAGAGGAACACUCGUGGCGAAGGCGGGUUCCUGGACAUUAACUGACGCUGAGGCACGAAGGCCAGGGGAGCGAAAGGGAUUAGAUACCCCAGUAGUC